rnacentral:sRNA from 1 species
ACAGAAAAUCCGACAUGAUCCGUCAGU